GUCUGGCUGUGCUCAUCACAAAGUGCUUAGUGCUUUUUUUAACCUGCUGGCAUCUUUUGAACUGCCACAGCCCUGCCUGCCUCCUCUCCAUGGGAAGGAUGAAGGAUGUUUUGUUGCAAUAGCAAUCCCUGAUGAAGCCUUUCUCUGGGUGCAUCUCACGAGCAGUGCCCCAGGUCUGGCAGAGAUGUCCCAGCUACAAGGAAGGAUCUCAGCACUCAAAGGAAACAACAAUCUGUGCUGGAGGCCACUGAAAACCUGAGAGGCUCGACAGGCAGAAGCAACAGUUCAAGUGACUUGAGCAAGAUCACCUUACAGGGUGCUUUUGUGCUGCUGCCCUCAGAAAGCUGCUCUGACCUGGCGGGCCCUUGGGGUAAGUUUCUUGAGUUUCGGUCAGCGCUCUUGGCUCACCCCCUGUGUGUCAGAUUGA